GUAGGUUUAUUGUCUCUUUUCGCCUUGAAAUCAGAAAGUAACUACCUUUACCGAUGGGUUGAUCAAUUGGAUAAAAAAGUUAUUAUGAUCUUUAUGGGGUUUUGUUUGAUGGUCUGCAUUGGUUGGUCGAGUUAAUCUGCAAUACCGUUAUCUGUUUUUCGUUUCAUAAGGGAAGCUCAUGGAGGCUUCAUUCAUCGAGUUUAGUUCGAUGAAUCCGAUUCCUUCAGUGAUAAGGAACCACAGUGCCGCUGCAGUCCUGAAGGAGUCGAUAAGCCCGGGUGUCUCGGUGAACUACACUCAGCUCUUGAUUAGUGGCAAGUUUGUCGAUACGGUGUCGGGAAAAACCUUCCGGAAGUUGGACCUUAGGACAGGGGAGGUGAUCGCCCAUGUAGCUUAAGGGGAUGCCGAGGACGUAAACCGAGCAGUGUCGGCUGUUCGUAAGGCGUUUGACGAAGGGCUAUGGCCGAAAAUUACAGCCUACAUCGACGGUGCUUCUUCGGUUUGUGGAUUUGUUGGAGAAGCAUAAUGGCGAGCUAGCAACGCUUGGGACAUGGGAUAAUGGAAAGCUAUAUGAACAUGGAUUUCAAUAAAUCCGUUCACAUGGAUUUUUUUCGAUUACAUGAAAGGCCAUUUGCCUGGAUUUAAUAAAUGUAAAAUAAUUUACUUAGAUUUUUAUUUUAAAUUAUAUGUCUUCCUUCUUUCUUUUAAUCACGGUAUUCUCGGCGUCUUUUCAUUUUUUUUUCCCUUUUAUGUCGUGCACUUUUCCUUAUCUGUCUCUUUAUAUCCCUCUACCGAAAUUAACAUUUAUAGCUAGGUUAUUUAUUUUUGGCA